rnacentral:SRP_RNA from 1 species
UUCCGGGCCCCGUGUGACGGGCAUCCGCUAACCCCGUCAGAUCCGGAAGGAAGCAGCGGUCCGCGAUCGUGCGCGUGUCGCGGGUCACCCGGGAGUC